rnacentral:rRNA from 1 species
AGCGAACGCUGGCGGCAGGCUUAACACAUGCAAGUCGAGCGCCCCGCAAGGGGGGCGGCCGACGGGUGGGUACCGCGUGGGCACGUACCUUUUGGUUCGGAACAACUCCGGGAAACUGGAGCUAAUACCGGAUAAGCCCUAACGGGGAAAGAUUUAUCGCCGAAAGAUCGGCCCGCGUCUGAUUAGCUAGUUGGUGAGGUAACGGCUCACCAAGGCGACGAUCAGUAGCUGGUCUGAGAGGAUGAUCAGCCACACUGGGACUGAGACACGGCCCAGACUCCUACGGGAGGCAGCAGUGGGGAAUAUUGGACAAUGGGCGCAAGCCUGAUCCAGCCAUGCCGCGUGAGUGAUGAAGGCCUUAGGGUUGUAAAGCUCUUUUGUCCGGGAAGAUAAUGACUGUACCGGAAGAAUAAGCCCCGGCUAACUUCGUG